rnacentral:rRNA from 1 species
CAACUUUCAGCAAUGGAUCUCUUGGCUCUCGCAUCGAUGAAGAACGCAGCGAAACGCGAUAUGUAAUGUGAAUUGCACAUCUACAGUGAAUCAUCGAAUCUUUGAACGCACCUUGCGCUCCUUGGUAUUCCGAGGAGCAUGCCUGUUUGAGUGUCAGUA